rnacentral:rRNA from 1 species
UACGUAGGGUGCAAGCGUUAUCCGGAAUUAUUGGGCGUAAAGAGCUCGUAGGCGGUUUGUCGCGUCUGCUGUGAAAACUGGAGGCUCAACCUCCAGCCUGCAGUGGGUACGGGCAAACUAGAGUGCGGUAGGGGAGAUUGGAAUUCCUGGUGUAGCGGUGGAAUGCGCAGAUAUCAGGAGGAACACCGAUGGCGAAGGCAGGUCUCUGGGCCAUUACUGACACUGAGAAGCGAAAGCAUGGGGAGCGAACAGG